rnacentral:snoRNA from 1 species
ACCUGUGUCGAAAGUGACUGUGGAGUGACUGGUCUCCAGGUCAUUGAUAGAACAGGAAGAGCAAGUGAAAGUCUUUCCCGUGUUUGCUGGAUUCUGUUCCUCACAAACCCUGAAUCUUUCACACA